GACGAACGCUGGCGGCGUGCCUAAUACAUGCAAGUAGAACGCUGAAGGAGGAGCUUGCUCUUCUGGAUGAGUUGCGAACGGGUGAGUAACGCGUAGGUAACCUGCCUGGUAGCGGGGGAUAACUAUUGGAAACGAUAGCUAAUACCGCAUAACAGUAGAUGUUGCAUGACAUUUGCUUAAAAGGUGCAAUUGCAUCACUACCAGAUGGACCUGCGUUGUAUUAGCUAGUUGGUGGGGUAACGGCUCACCAAGGCGACGAUACAUAGCCGACCUGAGAGGGGGAUCGGCCACACUGGGACUGGGACACGGCCCAGACUCCUACGGGGAGCAGCAGGAGGGAAUCUUCGGCAAUGGACGGAAGUCUGACCGAGCAACGCCGCGUGAGUGAAGAAGGUUUUCGGAUCGUAAAGCUCUGUUGUAAGAGAAGAACGAGUGUGAGAGUGGAAAGUUCACACUGUGACGGUAUCUUACCAGAAAGGGACGGCUAACUACGUG
rnacentral:rRNA from 1 species